rnacentral:rRNA from 1 species
AAUGCAUAGGAAUCUGCCCGGUAGUGGGGGAUAACUUGAGGAAACUCAAGCUAAUACCGCAUACGCCCUACGGGGGAAAGCAGGGGCUCUUCGGACCUUGCGCUAUCGGAUGAGCCUAUGUCGGAUUAGCUGGUUGGUGAGGUAAUGGCUCACCAAGGCAACGAUCCGUAGCUGGUCUGAGAGGAUGAUCAGCCACAUCGGGACUGAGACACGGCCCAAACUCCUACGGGAGGCAGCAGUGGGGAAUAUUGGACAAUGGGCGAAAGCCUGAUCCAGCCAUGCCGCGUGUGUGAAGAAGGCCUUCGGGUUGUAAAGCACUUUCAGUGAGGAAGAAGGCUUGGCGGUUAAUACCCGCCAGGAAGGACAUCACCCACAGCGGG